UGUUAGCUGUGUUCUCACCCUAGAAAUAUACUUAUGGUCUCACUGAUACUUGCAGUAGAAGUAAUAAUAUAAAGUCUGAUCAGGGAUCAGGGCCUCACCAUAUAGUGAUAGUAGCUUUCAGACAUCUUCACAGCCAGUUCCGAAGCCACUCUGUGUGUCCCAGAGAAGAAUGAGUUUGGCUCCUUGUACCUCUUUGUAUUGAAUCUCUGAAAAAUCACAGCCCUUUUGAAAAGGUUGUAUGUUUCUUGGAGUUUGGGAUAGCCAUUAGGGUUCUUGAUUAGGUUUCACCAGAGGAGAAAAAAUGAUUGAUUCGACACCUUGGCUAAUUUCCAUAAAUAAACUUUAAACUUCCUCUCAUCAAGAACCACUGAGUUUACAACAAAAGAACCCUCAAAUACCAAAUUUGUAGAUAAUUUUUGGGGUACUUUAUUUUACUCAUCAAAAGAUGAGAAAGAGGAUACCAUCAAUUUAUGAUUUUAAUAAAUGUCUUCAAAAGUCUGG
ensembl:lncRNA novel transcript